rnacentral:rRNA from 1 species
GACGAACGCUGGCGGCGUGCUUAACACAUGCAAGUCGAACGGUAAGGCUCCAGCUUGCUGGGGUACACGAGUGGCGAACGGGUGAGUAACACGUGGGUGACCUGCCCUGCACUUCGGGAUAAGCCUGGGAAACUGGGUCUAAUGCCGGAUAGGACCAUGGUGUGGAUACUGUGGUGGAAAGUUUUUUCGGUGUGGGAUGGGCCCGCGGCCUAUCAGCUUGUUGGUGGGGUAAUGGCCUACCAAGGCGGCGACGGGUAGCCGGCCUGAGAGGGUGGACGGCCACAUUGGGACUGAGACACGGCCCAGACUCCUACGGGAGGCAGCAGUGGGGAAUAUUGCACAAUGGGCGGAAGCCUGAUGCAGCGACGCCGCGUGGGGGAUGACGGCCUUCGGGUUGUAAACUCCUUUCACCAUCGACGAAGGGUUUCUGACGGUAGAUGGAGAAGAAGCACCGGCUAACUACGUG